AUUGAACGCUGGCGGCAUGCCUUACACAUGCAAGUCGAACGGCAGCACGGGAGCAAUCCUGGUGGCGAGUGGCGAACGGGUGAGUAAAGUAUCGGAACGUGCCCAGUCGUGGGGGAUAACGUAGCGAAAGUUACGCUAAUACCGCAUACGAUCUAUGGAUGAAAGCGGGGGAUCGCAAGACCUCGCGCGAUUGGAGCGGCCGAGAUCAGAUUAGGUAGUUGGUGGGGUAAAGGCUCACCAAGCCGACGAUCUGUAGCUGGUCUGAGAGGACGACCAGUCACACUGGGACUGAGACACGGCCCAGACUCCUACGGGAGGCAGCAGUGGGGAAUUUUGGACAAUGGGCGAAAGCCUGAUCCAGCCAUGCCGCGUGCAGGAUGAAGGCCUUCGGGUUGUAAACUGCUUUUGUACGGAACGAAAAGGUUUGGCCUAAUAAGCUGAGCUCAUGACGGUACCGUAAGAAUAAGCACCGGCUAACUACGUGCCAGCAGCCGCGGUAA
rnacentral:rRNA from 1 species